CCUGCCUCUAGAGGCAUUGCAGAUGUGGCUUCUGUAUCACAUGUGCUUCAGUAGGUGACAGAGAGGCCGUGUCUACACUCAAUGUUCUGACCUAUGAACAUCUGAAUGAUUAGUAGCCUAACAUU